rnacentral:rRNA from 1 species
CUCAGGACGAACGCUGGCGGCGUGCUUAACACAUGCAAGUCGAACGAUGAAGCCCUUCGGGGUGGAUUAGUGGCGAACGGGUGAGUAACACGUGGGCAAUCUGCCCUUCACUCUGGGACAAGCCCUGGAAACGGGGUCUAAUACCGGAUAAUACUUUCCUCCUCCUGGAGGAAGGUUGAAAGCUCCGGCGGUGAAGGAUGAGCCCGCGGCCUAUCAGCUAGUUGGUGGGGUAAUGGCCUACCAAGGCGACGACGGGUAGCCGGCCUGAGAGGGCGACCGGCCACACUGGGACUGAGACACGGCCCAGACUCCUACGGGAGGCAGCAGUGGGGAAUAUUGCACAAUGGGCGAAAGCCUGAUGCAGCGACGCCGCGUGAGGGAUGACGGCCUUCGGGUUGUAAACCUCUUUCAGCAGGGAAGAAGCGAAAGUGACGGUACCUGCAGAAGAAGCGCCGGCUAACUACGUGCCAGCAGCCGCGGUAAUACGUAGGGCGCAAGCGUUGUCCGGAAUUAUUGGGCGUAAAGAGCUCGUAGGCGGCUUGUCACGUCGGUUGUGAAAGCCCGGGGCUUAACCCCGGGUCUGCAGUCGAUACGGGCAGGCUAGAGUGUGGUAGGGGAGAUCGGAAUUCCUGGUGUAGCGGUGAAAUGCGCAGAUAUCAGGAGGAACACCGGUGGCGAAGGCGGAUCUCUGGGCCAUUACUGACGCUGAGGAGCGAAAGCGUGGGGAGCGAACAGGAUUAGAUACCCUGGUAGUCCACGCCGUAAACGUUGGGAACUAGGUGUUGGCGACAUUCCACGUCGUCGGUGCCGCAGCUAACGCAUUAAG